UUAUGGCCAUCUCACGUCGAAACACCAGUUCUCGCUCGAUAAUCGAAAUUAAGCAACGUCGAGUCUGGUCAGUACCUAGGUGGGUGACCGCUUGGAAAUACCAGGCACUGUAA